rnacentral:rRNA from 1 species
CCUACGGGAGGCUGCAGUGAGGAAUAUUGGUCAAUGGGCGGAAGCCUGAACCAGCCAAGUAGCGUGCGGGAUGAAGGCCCUACGGGUCGUAAACCGCUUUUGCACGGGGAUAACACCCUCCACUUGUGGAGGUCUGCAGGUACCGUGCGAAUAAGGGCCGGCUAAUUCCGUGCCAGCAGCCGCGGUAAUACGGAAGGCCCGAGCGUUAUCCGGAUUCAUUGGGCUUAAAGGGGGCGUAGGCGGGCGUUAAAGUCAGCUGUAAAAUCGCGGGGCUAAACCGCGCCCCGCAGUUGAAACUGGCCGCCUUGAGGUCACAUGAGGCAGGCGGAAUUCGUGGUGUAGCGGUGAAAUGCAUAGAUAUCACGAGGAACCCCGAUUGCGAAGGCAGCCUGCCGGGGUGCAACUGACGCUGAGGCUCGAAGGUGUGGGUAUCAAACAGGAGUAGAUACCCGGGUAGUC